AGUUGAUUUUGAGAUAGCCAAAAGGGAAACUAUCCUGGGUGCUCCUAACUUAUUUAGGUGGAAGCCCUUUGAAAAGGGACUAAAGCUGUCUACAUGAGAUGCAGAGAGUCCAGAAGACAGAGAGGAAACUGUAGAAUCUUCCUACGUUCUGGAACCCCCACUCACCUCCUUGCUGAUGAUCUCCUGAGUCCCCCUGUUGGUUAGAAAUUUAGAAGAAGCUCAGCGGGGCAAUUGGUCUCUAACUCAUGUGGUGUCAGCUGCAGCAUCAAGGCUGGAAGAUCCCCUUCCACAGUGGCUUCUUCAUUCACACGAGUGUGUGACGGAAGAUAAAGUGGUCAACA
rnacentral:lncRNA from 1 species